GUGCCUAGCAAGUGCUAGAGCUAAAGAAAUUAAAGAAAUAACUGAGACACGGCUCUGCCCUCCAGGAGAUGUAGUAGGAAAUAUUAGACAUCUGGAAAUAUCCAAAAGUAAAAUAUCCAAAAAUACAAUAACCGAAGUUAAAUGUUUUAAUCAAUGCUACCAGAACACAGAGAAAGAGAAGGUGGCUCACAUUGGGAAGAUGAAGGGACACUCAAGAGGGAAGUUGGCAUUUUAAUCACGUCUUGGAUGAAUACAGAAUUUGGACAUCCAGAGAUGUAGCAAGAAUGACAUUCCAGUUUCACUGCGCUGUGCAUGAAGAUGUCCGUAAUACUUUAGUGAAAGUGAGGGAAUUGUCUACUGGGACAUCCACCCCUACAUGAGGCUGCAGGAGAAGAUGUCUACAUGUCAGCCCAUGACCUCGGCACAGCAAGUUCCACAGAGGGAUAUGCUGUCUUUACUAUGUAAAGCUUGGCUGUACGUUUUCAGGAAUCCUCUCCAUUGGCCCCUUAGAAAUCUACAUAGGUAUCUAUGCUCCAGUUGAUAUGAAACACUGUCAUACAAAACCAGAUUGAAAAAAAAAACCUAAAUGUGCUUUACUGUCUCUUUAGCUUAAUCUGCAAUCUCGGAUAGUAACUAGGAGUCAAAAAUUACUUUCCCCAACUAAGAAGUCUAUAUAGGAAACAAACACAGAGCAGCCUGGUGGUUAGGAAUUUUAGGUCCCUCUUUUCCAUAAACUUGCUAAAUACAACUUAGAUAGUCAUUUUCCCUCUCUGGGUCUGGUUCUCUCCAAUGGGUAUAAUCUUCAGUCUCCUAAUGCGUGUUUCUAUGGCAAACAAAGGGAGCAAGAGAGGUAAAAUCACUCAAGUAAUUUGUGAACAGCAACAUGCAUAAAGGGGACACACAAACCAUGCUCACCCGCCUCUUCCUCAUCAUCACAGCUAAGAUUUAUUGAGUCAGGCCCUGUUCUAAAUGCUUCAAAUGCACCUCACCCUCCCAACCUCCUGCUCAGGUAGCUACUCUUAUUGUCCUCAUUCAGCGAUGACGAAAUUGAAGCCUGGAGUUGUAAGUAUAGCACUCAAGGUAUCACAGCCAGGACUCAAACACAACUACAGUUCAUGGCCUUGACCGCUAUACCACGUGUGGCAUUCUGAGUGUUG